AUGUUAACUUCAGUUGUGAACAAGUUAAUAACGGCUGAGGUCAAUCAAUUAGAAUGUCGAAUUUAUCAGAAUUAUGAUUUAUUAAACCAUAAAAGUUAGGUAAUGUUGACAAUUUUCUUCAAGUACAAAAGUUUCUUUUGAUAUAUUGAGAUAUCAAGUAAAUAACUAAAGAAAGCAGACCAUCAAUAAUCGAUAAAAUGUGUAAAAUUGGUUCUCAAACCGAAAUCAGCAAGGAAAGUGACCUUCAACCAUCCGCUGUCCUUAAGGCUUGUUUGUUGUCGUUAUUAUCAAGGGCCACUGCUAUCGGUGACAGAUCUAAAAUUAUCGAAGCAUUUAUAAAAGUGGAAUCGCGAGGGGCGUGGCGCGUGGGCGGCCGGUCAGCGGGAGACACUCUUGUGUCCCCGGUCAGUUUUCCGAGGUGUCCUGUCCAGUGAGCACCAUGCCUAACCACGAGACUACCAGCCUGAUCGCCACCUACCUCAUCCUGGUGCUUCUGUUGGCCAGCCUGUGGCUCUUAUAUUCGGGCAUGUUCUGAGAUGAUGGUCGGGCAUAGACAACAAAAGAGACCAAUGAUGAAGGGAGGUUGACAAACUAAAUAAGUUAACUGUAAGAAACCGUAAUGUUAGUAACUUAGAUAAGUAUAUUUUAUACCCAAGCAUUUACGAAGACCGAAGAGCACACAGCGGCUAGGAAACAAAAUUUAUUAACACGAUGAUUAUAUUUCAGUGCUGGGCAUUCCAAUUAAUGAAAUUACUAAAAUACUUUUACGAGAAAGACAUCUAAAACUCAAAUUACAACGAUGUAACAUUUUUCUGUUUCAUAUUUAUCUAGAAUGUUAUCGUUAUUGUUAAGAACUAAUUUGUAAUAAAGGUUUUUUUUA